GAAAUUUGUUGCUCGUGUGAACUCCUCGUGUCCUGUAUCGGGUUUUUGAAUCCAGGUGGAAGUAUGAAUGACCGAGUCGCAGUUAAGAUCAUUGAAGAGAAUAUAAUAUGCGUCAAAGUAACAACCAUGAAUCGGGCUCCUCGGUAAGUGACGCCAAAAAGAAGGAAUAAGAAAGUUUCAAAUUCUUGUACCGCUGGGAGAUCACGUUGAAAGGCCAAGACCAGUGUCAAUUACGCGCAGAGAUCACUAUGUUAAGUGUUAACAUUGCUAGGAUGAGAGCUGCAAAAUCAAUGAGCUUGCUUUGAUGCAUAAGAUCAGGAAAAGAUUAAUGGUCACGUUUAUUAGGUAGAAGACCAAGUUUCGUUUUUAUUGAGCAAUUGCAAAGGUGGAUUCUUUGCUGAUCAAUUCGAAAAUUUGGCAAAUUAUCGAGACCAAAGAUUUGGGAACAAACCAGUGAGAAUGUAGAUGCAUACGUUGUAGUUGCCCCUGUGGUUGUACCUCAUAGGAGUGACUAGAAGUGAUUGUCAAUCAACUAAUACACUCAUGGAGAUCCGGUAUGUCCACUAAUUCCUUUGACUUCUUAUUUGAUGAUGAUCAGACUCUAUGUCAGUCAAGUUCCAAAAGAUUUUCACGGUACGCGGGACAUUCUGGGAACCAGUAGGUGUGACAGGAAUUCAUGGUUCUACCGCGGGACAUUCUGGGAACCAGUAGGUGUGACAGGAAUUCAUGGUUCUACCGCGGGACAUUCUGGGAACCAGUAGGUGUGAUGGGAAUUUGAAGGGUGGAAGUUGAGUCAUAAUAAUAUAUGGUUGAAAUUCGCAUCACGUAACAUAAUGGAUCGUAUUGACUUGGC